CGGAAAACUGGGGAUAAUACCGGAUAGGUCAAAGAUGCUGGAAUGCUUUUUGGCCGAAACGUCAGGGGCGUUGGGAUGGGUCGGCGGCUGAGUAGGUUGUUGCCGGGGUAACGUACCGUCAAGCCAGUUAUCAGUACGGGUUGUGGGAGCAAGAGCCCGGAGAUGGAUUCUGAGACACGAAUCCAGGCCCUACGGGGCGCAGCAGGCGCGAAAACUCUACAAUGCAGGCAACUGCGAUCGGGGAACAUCGAGUGAUACUCAUAUUGGGUGUCUGUCCACCAGUCUCAAAAGCUGGUGUUAGCAAGGGCCGGGCAAGACCGGUGCCAGCCGCCGCGGUAACA
rnacentral:rRNA from 1 species